GGUGCUGUUUUGAAGGAUAAAGUCUUCAGUCCCCAUUCAUUGUUAUUGCAUAAAAAAGGAAGCCUUUUGUGUUACUUGAAAGAAAGAAAGUCAGACAGGUUUGGAACGACACAAGUGCAGCCUUGAAACUUCAGCUGUUAUAGAAAACCCCUGAAUUAGUAAGCUGUCACGGGUUUACUUGCAAACUGCUCACAGCUACUUGAAAAUUGAAGUUCUCCUUUCCUCGGCAAGCCUCUUCAGAACACUUCAUCCUGAGGGCAGACUAAUUUAAAGGCACCUCUACGUUCAACCCCACGUCCAAAGAGCCAUGCUCCCAUCAACUGGCCCUAAUGAGCCUGAAACGAACCUGAUGAACCUGACUGAGACACAGCUCUGAGGUGCUGAGAGGCUGCCUGCUGCAAACCUACCCAAGCAAAGAGAAUUCAUUACACAGAGGUGCUCUUUGCUCUUCUUUUUAUGGGAUUUAGUUGAAAUCGCAAUAUUUUUUCUGCUGCACAUCUUCCCAAUGUUGUUAAAUCAAUGAUUUUUAAGCGUAGAUAAAA